AAAGGGAAACGGUUGAAGCCAGUCAUGCCGGCGGAAAAUCAACUUAUAGGCUACUAUGAGUGCACUUUUUCGCAAGGCAGGUUAGCAUCGGUUUCAGUUGCGUUAUAAUAAUCAUGGGAAGGUAGCUUUUUCGGAAGUGUUAUAGCCUGAGGUAGAUGACGUGACAGAGACCGAGGAUUGCAGCGAAUGCCUUUUAGGCAACGUGUCUGGUCUCUGCCGAUUAACAAUUUGUCGUCAGCUUGCUGACGUACUCGUUGGUGAUUCUCAAAAGAUUCAGAACACGAUAAAUUUGCUAAGGAUGUUGACGUAA
rnacentral:rRNA from 1 species